rnacentral:rRNA from 1 species
AAUAGAUAACCGCUGAAAGCAUCUAAGCGGGAAACUAGCCUCAAGAUGAGAUCUCACUGGAACCUUGAGUUCCCUGAAGGGCCGUCGAAGACUACGACGUUGAUAGGUUGGGUGUGUAAGCGCUGUGAGGCGUUGAGCUAACCAAUACUAAUUGCCCGUGAGGCUUGACCAU